rnacentral:tRNA from 1 species
ACUUGUGUAGUUUAAAUUAUAAAAUAUUAGUUUCAUAGGCUAAAGUUGUUAGUGAAAUUCUAACCAUAAGUU